rnacentral:lncRNA from 10 species
GCGAUUUCAUUUCCAUCUCACAGCGUGGAUCAGUCACCUAUGCCUACAAGAAUGCUGCCUGAGAAACCACCCCCAACCUGUUAUUCUCUUGAAUAGGGAGUUGGCUGCAGAUGCAGUCUCACUCUGUCACCCAGGCUGGAGUGCAGUGGCGUGAUCUCAACUCACUGCAACCUUCGCCUCCUGGGUUCAAGCAAUUCUCCUGCCUCAGCCUCCCGAGUAGCUGGGAUUACAGGUGUGUGCCAUCAUGCUCAGCUAAUUAUUUUGUCUCUCUUUCUUUCUUU